GGGCGGUUAGCUCAGCGGUAGAGCACUGCAUUCACAUUGCAGGGGUCACAGGUUCAAAUCCUGUACCGCCCA
rnacentral:tRNA from 1 species